CACUGACACUCUGGGUGCCUCUGCCCCCAGUUUUUUUCCUUCCUUUCUCCAAAUAACCCUGCUUUGUUCUAAAGUGGAGGUAAGGUCCCCAGGGACCACGCCCAGACCAGGAGGGACAGGACAGGAGAGGCUUGGUUGAAGCAGAGCCUCUGACCCUCCCCUUGGGAUCCCCCCAAGACCACACACACACACACACACACACACACACGCACGCCCCACGCGCCCUGCGCGGGCUCUGAGCAAAGCCUGGAGCCAGCGCUGACACCCGGUGCCCAGAUGCUGCCCCCUGGGCACCCAGAAGGGAUUGGCCCUGCAAAACGGCCCUCGACAGCCCCACCCCCGCCUCGCUGGUCCUCCCUGUGGUCACUGAGCAAAAUCUAACACCCCAAAGGCACCACCUCUCCUUUCCCUGCUGUGGUGCGCGGCGAUUGGCGGGGCAGGUGGUGGUUGUGGAGCCCCAUGGCGCGGGGAGGAAAGGAACAUCACGGAGCCCGCUCUGGGCGUUUCUGCAGGGAAGCCCAGCCCCCAGAUCAGACCUGCCCGGAAACACGGCGCCUCCGCCUCCGCCUCCCCGCCCCCCUGCACCCCGGCAUCCCGUCCCCGGGACCCCGGCUUGCUCUGACCGCAGGAUACAUUCCCAGCCUGGCCCCUGCCCCAGAAGGGAAGCCGCGGUGCUCCCGGGCAGGGGUGGGGGGCUCGCCGGGGUGAGCAUUCCCGCAUCCUGCGACGGAGGGGGGAGUCGGCAGGAGGGCUCAUUAUACUCUCUCCUCGGAAAGCUGAGAGCCUAUCACUGCUGUCUUGAGGGAACAUCGAAGCUUCCAAGAGACGUCCUCUCCUCUUUGAGAAUUCCCACCCACCUCUGCACCCUGGUGGCCUCCCGUUCGAUAGCAAAUCCCCUCCGUGCACCUGCCUCCCGCCACCCCGGCCACCGACACAUUUGGGGGACACGGGUAUGCCGUCCGUAGCAGCUGGUGACGAUGUUGCCACAUUCUAUGUGCUUCACAAGAACCGCCUCAUUUCAUCCCAACAGUGCUAGGAGUUACCAGGCGUCGCUUUACCAUCACUGGACACACGGGGGAACUGAGGCAAAGACCUCGGUGAGGUCACCCACCCAAAGUCACCCAGCCGGCAAAGAGAAGAGCCGACGUUCAAAGCCAGCUGCCGAGGACUCUGCCCUUGGGUGACCUUUGCGAAGGAACACAGUCCGAGGGCCUGCAAAAAAGAGGGGCGUAGGCAGCACUCAGAGAAAUGAGCCUUUAGGAAAAGGAAACGUAGAUGAGACACUCCAGAGACCGCGGGCCCAAACUCCCUACCAAGCUCACGCUUGCUUGAGGACCGAGUCGUACGGGGGCCGCGGCGGCAGGAAUCCUGGGUUCUUUGCCCGCUUUCUGUGCACAGCGGAUGUGCCCUGGGUCUUACUGGGUUUUGCCACGCGGGUUUUGUAACGCCUGCUGGCCGCGCAUUCCCGCGCGUUGCCCUGGGGGCGUGCGUGUUAACCCGAGCGCCCACACGUUGUGCACACAAACACACGCUCCCUGCUCGGAGGCCACAGGCAGCCCGGCACAGUGAGAGGUCGUCUUGCUCUGCUGCAGCCCGGCUCCUCCCAGAGAGAAGGACAGGGGUCCCCAAAGCGGCACCCAGAGAGCAAGACGCCUCGAGGAGGAACCCACCGGGUGAGGGAAGGCGGGGGAAGGGGAGCUGCGUGGGGAGGGAGCUUCCCGGAGGAUCCUUCCACACACCCGCGGGCGGGAACCAGAGCCACCCAAGAGCCAGAACGGGGACCCUGUUUCCUCCUAUAGGGUGGCAUCCGGCAGGGGGUGGGGGGAGGCCGCGCCUGGGGUGCCAAAGGUGAACACCCAAAGGUGCUCCUGAGCCCCUGUGGUGAGCUGCCCGCCCGGGUGAAUAAUCUGUUUGCCAAUCCUGGGACUCGGCAACCCCGCCCGAGGCCACGUCCGCACCCCCACA
ensembl:lncRNA